rnacentral:rRNA from 1 species
UACGGGGGGGGCAAGCGUUGUUCGGAAUUACUGGGCGUAAAGGGCUCGUAGGCGGCCAACUAAGUCGGAUGUGAAAUCCCCAGGCUUAACCUGGGAACUGCAUCCGAUACUGGAUGGCUUGAAUCCGGGAGAGGGAUGCAGAAUUCCAGGUGUAGCGGUGAAAUGCGUAGAUAUCGGGAGGAACACCUGUGGCGAAAGCGGCGCACUGGACCAUAACUGACGCUGAGGCGCGAAAGCUAGGGGAGCAAACAGG